GACGUAGGUGGCGAACGUUAUCCGGAAUUACUGGGCGUAAAGGGCGCGUAGGCGCCUUCUAAGUCGAACGUGAAAUCCCCGGGCUCAACCCGGGAACUGCGUCCGAUACUGGAAGGCUCGAAUCCAGGAGAGGGAUGUGGAAUUCCAGGUGUAGCGGUGAAAUGCGUAGAUAUCUGGAGGAACACCGGUGGCGAAGGCGACAUCCUGGACCGGUAUUGACGCUGAGGCGCGAAAGCCAGGGGAGCAAACGGG
rnacentral:rRNA from 1 species